rnacentral:rRNA from 1 species
GCAAGUCGAGGGGUAACGGAAGUAGCUUGCUACUAGACGACGACCGGCGCACGGGUGAGUAACGCGUAUGUAAUCUGCCUUGUACAGAGGGAUAGCCCAGAGAAAUUUGGAUUAAUACCUCAUAGUAUUACUGGAUCGCAUGAUUUGGUAAUUAAAGCUCCGGCGGUACAAGAUGAACAUGCGUGACAUUAGCUAGUUGGUAAGGUAACGGCUUACCAAGGCUACGAUGUCUAGGGGUUCUGAGAGGAUGAUCCCCCACACUGGUACUGAGACACGGACCAGACUCCUACGGGAGGCAGCAGUGAGGAAUAUUGGUCAAUGGACGCAAGUCUGAACCAGCCAUCCCGCGUGAAGGAUGACUGCCCUAUGGGUUGUAAACUUCUUUUAU